rnacentral:siRNA from 1 species
CUGAAUCUCAGUGGAUCGUGGC